rnacentral:rRNA from 1 species
GACGAACGCUGGCGGCGUGCUUAACACAUGCAAGUCGAACGGUGAAGCGCUUUCCUCUUUGGUGGGUGUGGAUGAGUGGCGAACGGGUGAGUAACACGUGAGUAACCUGCUUCCUUCUUCUGGAUAACCGCAUGAAAGUGUGGCUAAUACGGGAUAUUCUGGGCCUGUCGCAUGAUGGGUCUGGGAAAGAUAUUGUUUCGGUGGGGGCUGGGCUCGCGGUCUAUCAGCUUGUUGGUGGGGUGAUGGCCUACCGAGGCGGUGACGGGUAGCCGGGCUGAGAGGGUGGACGGUCACACUGGGACUGAGACACGGCGCAGACUCCUACGGGAGGCAGCAGUGAGGAAUAGUGCACGAUGGGCGCAAGGCUGAUGCAGCGACGCCGCGUGGGAGAUGGAGGCCGUCGGGUUGUGAACCUCUUUCGCCAGUGAAGCAGGCCUGCCUCGUUUGUGGGUGGGUUGACGGUAGCUAGAGAAGAAGCGCCGGCUAACUACGUG